CUUGGAUGUUGGGAUUUUUCACCUGAAGAUGAAAAACGACAUAAGAUGAUGAUAUGACCGUGUCCUUUCGAGUGCUUGAGCUGGGAAGGUUCAGGAGCAGGACCAGGCGUUUCCCAAACACGACGUAGGAAAGCCAGCCCUGGGCUAAGUGGGGAAAGGUCAGAUUUCUGCAAGGGCUCCCAUUGUACAAAGCCAGCCCUUCUGUUCGUUGAGCUGCAGCGCAGGAACAACCUAGCUGGCAACUCUUCCGACUGAAAUCUGGAAUUGCAGUAAUGAUUGCUCAUUUGCAAGGAAUUGGGGAACUAAUCAGCCACAGUGAUCUCCAGGAGAAGCCACCCUGGGCUCUGCGCCUCAUCCAGCCUGCCCGCAGACUGCAGUGACUGUGCCAAACACUUAGACUUUCAGGGAGCCCCUGGGAUUCAGGCAUGCUCCCCGGUGGUGCAAUAAAUUCCAAGGAGUGUGCUGGGGUGCUGCUGCCGGCAGAGAAAACCCAUUUAUCUACGACAUCCGAUAUAACUGAUUCAAACAGAAAUAUUGAUGAAACCUGCAGAUCAAAGAAAAAAAAAAGGAAAAAUAACAUGUUAAUAUAGACUACCUCCUACAGUACUCGGUGAACCCGGCUACUGCCACCCUCUCUGCCCCUGAUGGGGAUCAUUGGGUCACUGCAUAAGUGGACUGAGCGCCAGACGUGGCAAAAGCAUCCGAUCCCUCGGAAACCUUUGCAGUCGGGAUGUGGUGGGAGCAAGCGGCGACGGCAGCCCAGGGGAAGGGGCUUUGGAGAUUGACUGAGGGAGAUAACGCGCCGUGAUUUCCUCCUUCCGCAAACCCUCCACCUCGCCAAGUGCCAGCGGGAGCCAAGGCCACUGCCCGCUUCUCGGACUGCCACUUUCAGCUCUCGGAGCACUAACGGAGACUCAUUCGGACCCUUUCACAUCUCCUCUUGCCCUGCGAGAUGACUCAUUGCAAGGACCCAGGGAUAUGCCAUAGACGUCCUUCUCUCCAGGAGGAAUUUUUCCAGGAUUGUUGCUCCUUGGAAGAGUGCCCGGUACGUAAGUGUGACUAUCCAUCACCUUUAGAUCAGUCUAUCAUUUCUCUCUCAACGGUGAAUAUCCCGCUUCUGUGAGUUGUUUUACUAUGUGGUUUAAAUAUUUUUCCAUUUUCCCAUGUUGGAUUUCUAUUCCAAACAAAAUCAUCGUGCCACAGAGCUGGGGCUUUCACCACGCAAAUGAGGGCAGCUGUAUUCAGGUGGCUGAAUAAGUGAUGACUCUUAAAUUAACUCUGCCUCCAGCAUAUUGUUCUAGGUACUUUGUGCUAUCCUCCCAUCAAGCGGUUAGGGCAAUGCAGUAUGUCUGUUUUACAGUCUCAUUAAGUCAUUGCUGUGCUGGAUUAAAGUUUCUGCCUUAUCAAUCAUUUCUCUAAAGAUGUAUCAAAGAGAACCAAGUAUGACUACACGGGUAAGUGUAACACAACUCUAUAAUUAUGGUCCAAAUUUUCUGUUGCAUUUUAGGUUUUUUUCAUAAGCAAUACAUGAUAUUCUUACUUUCUACUCGGUAAUUUGUUUUUUCUUUUACAUUCAGAAGGAACAAAAUAAAUUUUUUCUGAAAUAAAAUGAUCACACCACAGAGAUCUUGUUGGACACUGCACAUUUCUAAGGAAAUAAGAGUAGUAUGUCAUCCCUGUUUUGCAAUACAAAAUUGCAGCUUGACAAACAGGGACAUAUCAGGUGUGGAUUAAUCUCGGUGUUCAAAUCUUAUCACAGGAAGCAUUUUGUUUACAGCAAUCAAAAUGCCGUGAUUGGGAAUAGCCCCAGCGAUACCUUUGCACCUAACGGCUGCAUUCAAAGCUUAUGCAGCAGGGAUGUAACCGGACACAUUUAAGGCAGCAAGCAGAUGUCUAGAAGCGCACAACUGGCCAGAUGUUUUGUCUUCACCUUCCCCAGAAGGAAGAUGGAGACCGGCAGCAGCUGGAGGUGUGAGAGAGGACAGAGUGGACGCUGGGAGGGAAAACCCUCGCAGGCACCGGGGCUGUACAGCUUAUCUCCUCGGGGCAGGUCUGUCCCAGGCCAGCCGAGGGACAGGGUGGGCAGGUUUCACUUUCCUUUUCAGCACGGGCUGCAGGACUGCUGUCGGGACCGUUUCCACAUACCCCACUGCAGAAAAAUGAUCUUGCCCUAUAAGGGUGAGUGAGAACGGCUACGUACAAGCCUAUCUUAAAUGAAAGCCUGUACAUUGACUGUAAAAAUUGGAAAAGAGGCACUCUGGUAAAAUAAAGGAGUGAAGGGGAGAAAAAUGGCAAGCAGAAAAAAGUGCAGCAAGGCUUCUAAAAAAGUGUUUUUUAAAAGGAAAAGGAAGAAUACUAUCUAUGGUAGUGUUACUAGAUUACUAGAUAGGAACAACGCAGCUGUUAGUCAUGGGGAGUGAAGGCAUAAAUGUCAAACAAAUUUGUUCCGAAAAUAUGUAAAGAACAAGCUAAGUGCUCUUAAUGUUGCUUGAAUGAGGUCUAGCCUGCUUGGAGAGCCCCAGAGGUAUAAAAUGAAAUUUCACAUCUAACACUGUGCCAAUGCGUUGAGAGUCUGCGAGGAGCACCCCUGCUGAUCAUCCAUCCGUCCGUCCGUCCGUCCGUCCAUCCAUCUGUCUGCCCAUCCACCGCAGGCAUGGCAGGGGAGCGGCAAAACUUUGAAAUCAUGGACUACAGAAUGCCAAUACAACUGCUGCUGAUCUACAUGGCUUUAUAUGAGACAGAUGUUAUCAAUCAAGCUUUACCCUUCAUGCAAUGUACAUUUUGAUGUUGUUUAACAUGGGAAAUGUAUAUAAGGAUGAAGAAAGUAGGCUACACUUCCAGCCUCUUGGACUCUGGCCUCGGAACUGGGAUUUUGAAGGAGUUCCUAUGUCACUGCAAUUGAAGCAGCUGAAGGUAGGUGUGAAGUACGGCACUGGGACCAAAAGAACAACUGGCAUCCCGACGUUUUUUUAAACAGAAUAUAGAUUUAUGGGGCAGAGAGGUUGUGUUGCCUCUAUGUCUGCCUUGGUGAGGCCACGAAUGGAACAUUGUGUCCAGUUCUAACAUCCCAAAUGCAAAAAAAAAAAAAAAGGCACCAAUUAGUUGGCAAAGGUUCAGAUAAGUGCUGUAAGCACAAUUACACUAUCGAAAACAUGUCUUUUGGUUAAUUGAAAGAAAGUCCAGGGCUUAGAGUUUUUAAGUCUCAUACAUGAAAUGGAAAUUGGCAAUGUAGAGCCUUCCACUGUAGGAAAAAAAAAAAAAAAAAAGAAAGAAAGAAAGAAGAAAGAAAUCCAUGAGUGACAUGAGGUAUAUUCAGACAAAAAUCAUGUGUAAUUUCUGAACCUCGAAGAUAACUAGCCGUUGGAACAGUUGUGCUGAAUCUCCAUAGAUUGGAAACAAAUUAAACUCCAUAUUUGAUAUUUUUUUAGACACUAAUUAAAAAAUGGAUGAAUUAAGGGAAGACAGAAUGGUGAAGCCCAUGGUACAUGAAUACACAGAUUCUUAUGUUUAAUAUUUCUAUUCCAGUACACCCCUACAGAGACAUUAUCACCUCCAAUGAGUUUACUGCUCCUUGGCAACCUCUUUCCAAGACUGACAGGCUUGUUAAAGUAUGAAUCAGAGCUACUGACCUCCACGUGCACCGAUUCUGGAUUGCUAUCUUCCGGAGAAGACAAAGAACCGUAUUUUUUUUUAAAUAGGUAAAAUUUGUCAAUGCCUCCUUCGGCUCCCCAAGCAAUCCUUGGCUGGCUGACUUCUCCAAGGUGUUGGUCUUCAGGAGAGUGAUGGCUCUGGGUGAUGUUCCAGCACAAACAAACUCUGAUGAUGAAAUGAGUCAACCGCCGAGUGCUUUGCUUCCGGGCUUCCUUCUUCAGCAAUGUAGCAGGAAACAAGUAGGAACAUCCAUUUGUCUCCAUUCCCACCAGUGCUCAUCAUUUUAAAACAUGAAAAGAGCUUGUGCAGUUGGAGGAUGGUGUGGGGCUGAGGGCUUUGGGCACCUGCAAUAAGUAGUGAGUGAGGAGGAGGAGGAGGAGGCAUUAUUGUAGGGGUGGAGGAAGGACAGGAAUGCUCCUCCACGCUGGGAGUCAUCGUCAGUGCUGCAUCCUGCCGUUGAUCAACUCCCCCGUGCCCAUCCUUGCUUCUGAGUAAAUUACUGCAAGGUAAACGUUCCCUUUGAACCUAUCUUCCAAAUAGGAGAUAACCCGUGAAAAAUCUCUGGUCUGAAGAAACAUCGUGAGACGCAAUUCUGCUUUUCCACCCAAAAGCCGGCACGUAACACAGGGAAGGGCACGACCUGUUACUUUCCCAGGCUGCUGCAGACGGAUCAUGUAAAACUGGCAGUCUGAGGUUAGAUCUUAGGAACAGUGCUUUGUGAAGGGAAAAUCUAGAACGGGUUAUCCAGGGAAACGGUGGAACCUUCCUUUCCCAAAGCUUUUGAGCAUUAAGGCAGUAUCCACCCAGGGCAGUUCAGACACGCUGUGUCCUGGCCCUGCAAUGAGAAACACUGAUGGAAGUUAUAACCUCCCUUUGCUGUGCUUUGCUACUGAAAAAAAGAGUGUUUCAAAUCUGGAAACAACAAAACGCCCACUUUAUUAUUAAAUUGAUCGUUGUUUCUCCAAUUGAGCCCUGUUUCCCAUGCACACUGUGGUGAAACCUCCUUCCUAGCACAUGGUCGGCAGCAUCCAUGGAGCGGUCCAAGCAGCGAAGACGAGGAUGAGUGCGCUCUGGCUCCGAGGGACAGCGUGGCAAGGACAGAAAAUGGCUUGAACUGUUUCACGGUGUUGCACAUUCUGGGCAUAUGGGGGUUGUCAGAAUUCAUUUGGCAUUCUGACAUAAGAAUUGCAAGAAUAAAUGAAGAAGCAUGCUCCCAGCCAGGAACUCGGUGCGGUCCAGCACCAGCUGAUUGCCUCUCACACCCCAACUCCCGUGCUAAAGUCGGGGCUAUUGAUCCUGCUUAGAUUGAUUGGUUAAGAGCAGGACAAAUUAUUUUUAGGGCUUUCAUCUCAAAGCACUGGGUCGAAUCAAUGGAAGUUCACAUUUUCCAAGAGGCUGGCGUCUUGCUAAACCCCCUCUUUUCAAUCAAUUAGAGGAAUGAACCUUUGCAAUGCUGCUGAGAAAUGAAAUACGCGCUUAUCUCCUUGCCCCACCGGACAGCCAAGCUAGAACCAAGUUACAAGUCCUGGAUAUAUGGUACGUGGUACUGAGCCAUGGUAGUAAUGGGAUGUCAGCAUCGCUGCACAGUAUGGGCCUUUAAUGAAAAUUAAAAAUAGUACAGUGCUUUAAAUGCUCCUGGAUCUUAAUUUGCAAAUGACAGAAUGUCAAUAUUUGGCAGCAAUCUUUUAUUAAAAGUGUUUUUACAGUCUAACUUCACACUUUCCAUGGGUACAGCUGAACUCCCACAGGUAGAGUCCAUGCCAUAGGCAGUGCUCGCCAGCGUUGAGAGCGCUUAGGUAGAAUACACAAAAUUGUGGUUUUCUUCCUUGAUCCACCUUUCUUUGAUCUAGGAAAAUCACCGGACUGAGGGUGGGGUUGCAAUUUAUCCACUGAGGGUGGAUAAAUAGGGUCUAUUUGAAUUGUGCCAUUCAGUCAGGAGCUGAAGUCUUGCCCAUCUCCCAGAUACGUUGAGUCCCCCGCGAGGACCCACACUUCUUACCCCUCUUCCAUGGCAAUGAGCUGCUCUUCCACGGCUCGCCAAGCGCCGAGCCCCGUGCGUUCAAUCGAAUUAACUGAACAGCCCCGCUGCAGUACAAUGCAUCUCCCUGGAAGCCUUUAGGUUUUGUUAUAGUACAAGUUGAUAAUAUUUUCCCUAAAGCCUGCUUUUAAUUAAUGUAUGUAUUUUCAUUUUCUGUCCAAGAUACGACAAGUGCUAGGUAUCAUUAGCUAAUACCUGCUGUGCUGCAUUUUCCAAUAACACUAUAUUUUUUCCUAAGGUAAUUCAUUUCUCACUUAGAGAAUAUCCUGUGGAUAUCCUUUGUUCCAGUUCAAGACAUUAUUUAUGUAUAAAAUUGGUCGUGAUAUACCAUUUGAAAAGGAGGAAAAGUGAUAGCAAGUACAUGGUGUGUGCAAAGAACAAAAUUACUUAAGAUAAUGCGUGUUUGCCUCCUUUCUGAUAUGGCAUAGGAGUGCCAAGGAGGUUUGCCCCCAGAGAAAAUCAGAGGGCUAGAAUUAGGGAGUCUUUGCUGAUGGAAUUAAUAUUGGCACAAGUGGAUGGGGAGUGAGGUUCGUUAGACGAUGGGGUAUCUCUCUGCAAACGAACGGGCGUCAGCCCAAUCUUUCUGCUCCUUAUAACGCUGUUAGACAAAGGGGUGGUUUGUGUGGGAGGGCAACGUAGGCUCAUCUGGGAGAAAGAGCUCCAAAUAAUCUGCCUGAUCUCCUCCAUCUCAAACACGUGCUCUUCAGCAGCUCUGAGUUUGUAUUUGGCAAAGGGAAGGGGAGACACAGCUUUCGUUAACCGCAAAGGGAUUUUAAUGGAAGUCUGAAUGGAUUGCGAGACACUGGCUACGUAUUUUGAAAGCUUUGAGUGGCAGUUCCAUUACACACACACAAAUGCCCUAACUGGUACCAGGGUUUGAAACGUCUCCCUUGCUGUCAAACAGCCAGCGGUGUUCUGCAGGGGAGUGCUUUAAAGAAAAACUGCUUUUUUUCCUCCACUACCUGACGUUGCUGAGUGAAAUUCAGCUUGUUUUCUUUGCUUGAUAACCUUUGAGUAGUUCUUACGUGUAAUUAAUAUUUAGAGCAUGAUUGGCACUUUUCAUUCCCGUAGCUUCAGCGGUACGACGGUGAUUAACUUAACCAGGGAAUUUUGUCAGACAGCGAUGGAGAGGUUGUACGAGAGGACCAGGUCCAGCUUCUUGCAAAGGCAGCGCUAUCCCAUAGGGAAUAUAUUCUCAGGUUUAGAACAAAAGUCAUAAGUAAAAGAAUUUUUAUGUCUUUUCUAUAGAGAUUAUUCCACAGCCUAAUAUCUCCCAUUUUCCAGAUUUUCCUACAAACCAGUGAAAUUGCUCUAUUCUGUUCCACCCUCUUCCAGACCAGCCCAUCUUUUCUGAAUAGAGAUCAUCUCCAAAAUAUUUUCUGCCCCGUCAGGUUAUCCUGUAGAUGUGUAUCACACAUCCUGCAUUCCUGUUUCCAUUUCUUUGUUCAAGACUGCAUAUUUUUCUUUUAAUGUGUAUUUAUUUCUUUAUAAGUUUCUCCAGGUACCUGAUGAUUUUUUUGCUGCUCUUCCUCUCAUUUCCCAAUUUGUUGGUGGUAUCUGAGUGGGAUUUACAUGCCAGUUUUUGCUAUCCAGGAACAAAACAGAGCAGGGACUACCAUCAUUAUUUAUUUCACGGUAUGUCCAUGAGUAAAGCAUAAAACAGAACUGAGAUUUUAUGUGCAGGUACAUUUUUUACACUGUAAAAAUCAUGCCCAGCUUUCUUUGAGGCCCAAUGUCUGUUUGUGCUCAUCACUUCAGCUCCCGGAGCUGGGGAAGAACUCGGACCUUGCUUUCCCAGCAAGGCAGUGAGGGCAAAGACAUCUCUUCUGCUCUUAUGUCCCCAUCGUAUUAUCCCUUCAUGUAAGUAGGCUGCUCCUUCCUUUCAAGCCCACAGGAGAUGUCAGCUCAGACAGGCAUCUUUGUUUCCUUCCGUCUGCAUUUGCUGUGACAGACAGGAAAUUAAAGUAGCCAAAAUGAAAGAAAUAAAAAAGAAUUUGGGCUGAGGAGAUGGCAGUAACGAAAGGAGAGCGGGUGUUGCAUGCCAUCACCGGGGCUGGACCCAGGGCAGCAAUUCCUCUGCCCUCGCGAGGUCCCGCCAGCACCUUCAUCCCGGAGCCACGCUGCUCCGUCUCCUUCCUCCCGCUGCCGUGCCGCUCCGUCUCCUUCGACGUGGCGGUUGGCUUUGCUGCGGCUGCCGAACAGCUGCCAUGGGGUUGAUGGGCCAUUACGUUCCUACAGCCUGCCUCCCUGGAGACACUUCCAAAAUAGAAGCCAGUGGGGGGGGGGGAAAAAUCCUAACCUGAUUAUGAUAGAAUAAAGGACAUAAAAGUGAUAUAUUGCUUUGUGUAU